UACGAAGGGGGGCUAGCGUUGCUCGGAAUCACUGGGCGUAAAGCGCACGUAGGCGGCUUUUUAAGUCAGGGGGUGAAAUCCUGGAGCUCAACUCCAGAACUGCCUUUGAUACUGAGAAGCUCGAGUCCGGGAGAGGUGAGUGGAACUGCGAGUGUAGAGGUGAAAUUCGUAGAUAUUCGCAAGAACACCAGUGGCGAAGGCGGCUCACUGGCCCGAUACUGACGCUGAGGCACGAAAGCGUGGGGAGCAAACAGG
rnacentral:rRNA from 1 species